UACGGAGGGUGCGAGCGUUGUCCGGAAUCAUUGGGCGUAAAGGGCGCGUAGGUGGCCCGGUCAGUCUUUGGUGAAAGCGCGGGGCUCAACCCUGCGUCGGCCAGGGAUACUGCCGCGGCUCGAGCACUGUAGAGGCAGGCGGAAUUCCUGGUGUAGCGGUGGAAUGCGCAGAUAUCAGGAGGAACACCGAUGGCGAAGGCAGAUCUCUGGGCCGUAACUGACGCUGAGGAGCGAAAGCAUGGGGAGCGAACAGG
rnacentral:rRNA from 1 species